rnacentral:rRNA from 1 species
AUUGAACGCUGGCGGCAGGCCUAACACAUGCAAGUCGAACGAGUGGCGGACGGAUGAGUAAUGUCUGUGAAACUGCCCGAUGGAUGGGGAUAACUACUGGAAACGGUAGCUAAUACCGCAUACCAUCGGAUGUGCCCAGAUGGGAUUAUCUAGUAGGUGGGGUAACGGCUCACCUAGGCGACGAUCCCUAGCUGGGCUGAGAGGAUGACCAGCCACACUGGAACUGAGACACGGUCCAGACGCCUACGGGAGGCAGCAGUGGGGAAUAUUGGACAAUGGGCGAAAGCCUGAUGCAGCCAUGCCGCGUGUAUGAAGAAGGCCUUCGGGUUGUAAAGUACUUUAAGCGAGGAGGCGUUACUAGCAGAAGAAGCACCGGCUAACUCCGUGCCAGCCGCCGCGGUAAUUC